CUCGGGUCUUCCCAUAUUUCAGAUCCAGUCACAGGCCAAAUGGACUUCAUUGCAAUGCCAUGCCAAGAGUGGGCAGCAAGAAAUGGAGCCACAGCUGAAGGAGCUGACCAGGCCUUCUCCAGACUGGCCAAACAGGUCUCUGUGUGAGGCAGAGGAAGAAAGAGGAACCGAGCACUGAGCCCUUCCAAGCAGGACCAGCUUGGAAGGAGGUGGAAGGAUGGAGAGAACAGCCCAGAACCCCAAAGGAAGUACAGAAGGCCUGUGGAAGGACCACACAAGGAGGGAAACUGUCACUGAAAUGGGAAGGGUGAGCACAGCAAAGACAAAGUCUGCCACUGGAGGACUUUGCUAAGGAGAAGGUUCUGGUCAGCUCCAGCAUGCUUUGGUUGUUAGAGUCGGGCUCUUUAAUUACAAGCAGCAAAAGUACAGAUAGGUGUUGUAACUUACCCAAGAUCACGCUGAGCAGGUAUGUCAGAGCUAGAACCAGCUCCCAGGGCUCCUGACCUCCUGUUUUUCUAAAGGAAUGUGCUUUAACAUGGAACUGAGUCAGAGUCAGUGGGAAACUGAAGAAAAUUAAAGAAGGAAAACAAGCA
ensembl:lncRNA